rnacentral:lncRNA from 1 species
GAUCACUUCCUCCUGUCAAUUCUUCAGCUUAGGUUGCUUUUCUGUCAAGCAGUCUUCCUUUGUAGCUAUGCCCCAACAACACAGCCUGAAGUCCUUCACAAAAAUGAUCCUCUUCUUCUUCCAUUUAUUUUGUCUCACAGGUGUAUCUUGGGCUGUCCAUGUCCAUCAAACUCCUCUAGCUGUUUUUGUAAACUCAAAUGAGACAGUCCAUCUACUUUGCUCCCACAACAGAACAGAAUACAGAGUGAUCCUCUGGUAUCGCCUAAGGCCCCGGGAAGGCACCGCUCUCGAUCUCAUCGGAUACGGAUACAACGACUUCGACAGUGAGAGUGUGGAAACGUCGUUCAGGAAACACUUUGAGCUGAAAGGAGAUCUCAAGGGGAUUGUUAAAAAUGCCUCGCUUAUUAUAACAAAUGUUCAGCCGCAGGAGCACACAGCGACGUACUACUGCGCAGCACGAGAGGCACAGCAAGAGAACAGGCCCACAGCCAAAGCACAAAACCUCCUCACUGUGGGCGGCCUUAUCUGAUAGAGGCUGCUGCCAAACAAAAGGAAAAGUGUUGCAAAAAGCAUCCGGGCACUAAAUACAUGUUUUCUUAACCUUUACCUAAACUGAGCGCAUUGUAUUCAGUUUGUCAUUACCCAAAUCUAAAAGCUUCUCGACUGAAGAGCAACAGUGUAACGCCUCAUUGACAGGAAAUGUAUUUAUUUUUCGUCACGUUAUUUUUUUGUCACAACCUAAUUAAGAAGAAAUCACAAAAAACAAUGCAUCUCAGGCUGAGCAACAUUUAUAUUUUUUUACAAAGAUUCUCAAUUAAUUUCCAAUAGACCGAUUUUGACACAAUCGCUGAAGUCAUUUUCUCUUCAUUUUAUUUCUUUAUUACAUUCAAAGUGACAUUUAAUAUGUUUACAACAAAACUGCCAAGCCAACACAGUUUGAAUGAAAAGACGCAGAAGAGAAGAUCACUCUUAUGAUAUCUGCCACUUUAUAACUUUACAAUGGCCUUACAAUAUUUACAAUUACCAUCAAGCGAGUUCUAAACUAUUUCUCAUUGUUUAUGUCCAACUCACUA